ensembl:lncRNA
UCAGAGUCUGCAUGGGUCCCCUUUUGCCCUCACCCUCCUCUCCGGCAGCAGGACAGUACAAACAGGGGAGGGCCACAUUACUCAGCUCAUCCCUUUCUCCACACUGUUACCAGAAGGGGUACCACUGCUUUUUGACACACUGAGGAACAAACUUUAGAGGCCCAAGAACAUUUUUGCAGGCCUGGUACACAGGAAGAAAAGAGUUCCUGCUGAGAACCCUGAAGCCAGAAGUGGUCACUCCAAAGAGCAGUCUUGACCACUCUGGACUGUACACAUGAGAGCACGUUGUGGUUGUCAACUGACCAUUGCGCCUUGGAUGAUUCACUGCUACCAAAGACCAGCAUCCCCUGACACCAAGGUAUAUUUUGCUACAUAAUCUAGUCACCUAAUUUCCCUUUGAUGACAUGGAAGCUACAAUUUGGGGAGAAAAAAAAAUCUACAAUUCAGCUCUUCCAUCUAUGAGGAUGUGUGAGUAGCUUUUGUCCAGUGAAAAGGAACCUUUGUUUGAAGGAACUUCUGUGAAGAGUGCCACUACAGAGAAAGUCAGGCACUAGUGAUGCAGAGGGAUCUGGCAGUGCUGGAAGAUCUAUGGACUGGGACACACAGUGCAUGAGUCUAUUUGAAACUGUUUGAUAAGUUACUCUGCUCACAGAACAAUUUGCUAAACCUGCUGCAUAUAUACAUGUUUGUUUAACAGCUCAGCGCUCUGCUUUUACUGUUGUAAAUGGAUCGUUCCAUCCAGAAGAUGGCGCUGUCUGCAUUUACUUCCAAAUUACUUACCACAGAAAAAAAAAUUCUAUCCAAUUCAACCUUGAGUGUGGUAAGUUAUUGAGGGUACCUUUCUAAUAGAAGCUGUUAAUACAGCCUUGCUCCCGAGGCUUUCAAUUUACAAAUAAUUUUCAUAACAUUUCCACAUGAGAGCUUCUCUAGUCAUCUUAUAUUAAUAUAGCCUAGUAUGUUAAAGCAAUCUCACUUUUUGACCACUGGACCAUACAGAUUAGAUUAAAAAAAAAAAAAAAAAAAAAAAACCCUAACAUUUUAUUUAAUGUUGUAACUGCAAAGUUGACUUUCUAACAGGAAUAUCUAUAAAUUUCUCUGUCAUACUAAUUCUUUAUGGAAGAUGAGGGAUCUUUGCAAUAUAUAUUAUAUGUAACUCUGUAAAGAUGCAUAUGCAUGCAAGUAUUGUUUCUGAUAUAAUUUAUGAACUGUAAUAUUAAAACCAGCAUGAGAAAUCAUGAUUUUUAGUUCAGAAAUAAU